GUAAUUCAAACUUCACCCACUGGUACUUCGUACAUUUUCGCGCCCCGGGCAAGCUUUGAAUCAAAUACUGAAUGGUUGGGUGAGAGAAACCGAAAAACUCUGGACCCGAGCCUGUAUUAGAAGCGUCCCUACCCCUGCCGGGACAAAAAAUGUCGUAGGUGAGGCACAAACAUUUCAAAUUAAACGAGCUACACUGUAAGUGACAUAGGACGCAAGAAAUCUUUAAGUAGCAGAGAGCAAGUUCUCAGAUUUCUAACGCAACCUUCUCCUUUAACUUUCAGGAUGAGUAAAAUCAACAGCUUUCCACAGUCACAUGUACCUGGCCUUAUUGACCGCCUUCAGCACCACGCAGUGGCAAGCUGUGGCUGAAGAGGCUACGAUUGGGUGGUCUGGGUCAUCUUCAGGACACAUCUCAAACUGGAGGCAAAUAGAACGAAGCAAAAUUAUGAGAAAAGUGGGAUCACUUUGAGUAUCUGAGCAAUUGCAGACCUACCCCUCCCCUAACCCAACAACAACAACUGAUAAUAAGCUAACAGAAUUGGGUUACGAGAGGAGUAGGAACACAGUUGCCCACAUACUGACAUUGAUCCGAUACAUGCAACACAAACUACAGGGGACUUUUUACCUUUUGCAUCCACUGCAAUGGGCUGCACCUUCCUCUUGAUGGCAGUGCCUGGCUUCUUUCUCUUAGGCUUCACAGGAGGAGUACCUUGAUUGGCUGUCGUUGCGGCUACAGUGAAAGAUAAAAUAUGUGAACCUUAUUCUCAAACUGAGUAAUGCUGAUAAUACUUAAUUACCCUGUUAUACUCUCCCACCGACGAAGCACCGCAGUUUCUUUAGAAACUUACCACCUUUAUUCUCUAUCAAUCUGAGAUCUCAUUAUUUCUCAGAUUACAGCAAGACUAACAGGCACAUCAAAUCUGUGAUAAACCAGACAAGACAAACCUGCACCCUCUGUAGCAGCCUUCUCAGCUUUUGUUGCCUUUCCUCCAGAAGACUUGGGUUCUUUCUCUGCCUUUGGUUUCACUGCGGUCUUCUUGGCCUUCACUUUUGGUGGCUUGGCCUUUUCCGCGACAAAAGGAGGGUACAUCAUCGGCGGUAACAUGUCCGGAGAGAAGGGAGGGUACGGUGCAGCUUGGAACAUCCCUGCCUCAGCAGCGGCUUGAUACUGAAACAACCUCUUGAGAAUGAACCUUUGAGAAAAUGAAUAAAUAAGUGCGGAAAUGAGUUGUAGAUGCAAUCAGGGCUGGUGACUACUUUGCAUUCCUGUAUUUCGUCUAGAUAUGUUUGUUUGGUUGCGAUAUUCAGACGGGCUGGCCCAAUUCAGCUUUAAAUCUGGUUUAAAUGGGGUCUGUAUAAACAAUAACAGGGCCAGUCUACAACACCAGGAGCUACAUGUACAUUCCCCACUCUUUGCGAGAAGUGCGUGGGUUCUUCCCCAGCUAACCAGUACAGAGGUGGCGCAGGAGACGGGGCUUAUGGAUUAUCGUCCUUUUCCGAGAAAAUAGAAUGUCUAACAAUUUUCGGAUGAAGUAGCAAAAGCAGCAAGUUAUCUUCAGUAACUUUAAGACCCUGAGUGUUGGUCUGGUCUGAGGCUGGAACCCUCGACCUUCCUUGCGGCACUGAGUCCAGCGCUCCACAACAUGAGUAAAUCAAGCGCAGUAAACGGUAGAACUUACAGAAACCUUUACAACAUCAUGCCCCCUUUUAUUAAAAGUUUGGUUAGUUAAACAACCAGUCUUAAGCCUAUGUAUCUUUAAACUUAGCAAGAACAAUAACAAAUUACUUUACACAGAUAAGAUUUACCUUCUCUCUGCUUUUGCUCUUUGAAACUUUACCUCAGUUCUUUGAACUUCAUCACAUAAUGCUCCAUUUUCCUACAAAAAAUGUCAUUGGAAAUGGGACUAUCAGUGGAUUUUGACAACCCUGCUAGAGCAACGCAUUCUCAGAUAGCUUUCGAUACUCAGUUCAAAAUUGCUCACGUAGAUAAGUAAUGGCCGUUUUUAUGCUAGAGACGUUAAAGUU